GAGAACGCAGCGAAUCGCGAUAAGUAAUGUGAAUUGCAGAUUUUCAGUGAAUCAUCGAAUCUUUGAACGCACCUUGCGCCCCUUGGUAUUCCGAGGGGCAUGCCUGUUUGAGUGUCAUUUUAUCAUCAACUCAUUAGUCUUUGAUUAGGCUUUUGGGCUUGGACUUGGGAAUUGCUGGCUUGAUCUUUUUACCCAUUGAACAGUAUCUAAUACUUAAUAGAGGGAAAAAAAAGUGUAGUCGGCUGUCCUUAAAUGCAUUAGCGAGUGUUAGUCUACAUGGCACGGCCUCUUGACGUGAUAAUGAUCGUCGUGGGCUGGAAGUGUAGUGUCUGGCUUCUAAAACCCGAUUGCAUGCAUACGGCCCAUAAAGCUGGAAGCGCAAUCAAAUCCGACUAACGUGCAUACGGCCCAUAAAGCUGGAAGCGUAGUCAAAAUGACCUUUGACCUCAAAUCAGGUAGGACUACCCGCUGAACUUAAGCAUAUCAAUA
rnacentral:rRNA from 1 species